GCUUUUGGUUCAGUAAUAGAAUGCCCGCCUGCCACGCGGGCGCCCUGGUUAAAUCCCAGCCGAUGCA